GCUCAGCCCAACCCCACAGGGGCUGGGCAAAAAGAUAAAGGCACGUGUGACUUAUUCACGCGUGCAUGAACACUGGUGAAGGUAAUUAAAUUACCUUCACACAGUGUUCUUGUAACACUGAAUUACCUUUUGUGAAAUGAUGAUGCAAAAGGAAACGGAGUCAUACCUGUUUCUAGAGAUCGAAGAUCCUGCUUCUAGAGACCAAAGGUGCUUGCAGUGCUGAUGAUGGUUCCCGCCUACUGCUUCUUCUAGUCUUCUGUCUGUGACCCCUUGUUCGAAGACAAUUUCAAGGAUAAUUCUCCUCACUGUGUGCUCUUCUCUUGUUCUUUCUUUUUCUCUGUAUUUGGAUUUUUAUUUCUACUCUAUUUUUUUGGUGGUUUUCUCUGUUUUCCUCUCUGUUCUUGGGUGAUUUUCUCCGUUCUUGUUUUGCCAAUUUUUUGGGUUAA